rnacentral:rRNA from 1 species
GAUAAACGCUGGCGGCGUGCCUAACACAUGCAAGUCGAACGCCCUUUUGCGCAAGUGAGAGGGAGUGGCGGACGGGUGAGUACCACGUGGGUACCUACCUUGAGGUGAGGAAUACCACCGAGAAAUCGGUGACAAGACCGCAUACGCUUGGCAACAAGCAAAGUCUCGCAAGAGACGCCACAAGAUGGGCCUGCGCCUGAUUAGCUAGUUGGUGAGGUAAUGGCUCACCAAGGCGACGAUCAGUAGCUGGUCUGAGAGGAUGAUCAGCCACACUGGGAUUGAGAACGGCCCAGACUCCUACGGGGCGGCAAGC